GAGGAUUUCCUGUGUCAGGGCCCUUCCGUCUCCUCCUUGCUCCUCCCGCUGCACGUCAAGCUAGAGACCGACAGCAGCGUCCCUGUCCACCCCUGUUACCUCCCCCUGACUCUGAAGACCCACUCCCUCUCUCCCCUCCCCUCCCCUCCGUGGAAUCACUAAAACACAGGAAGUCACGUGGUGCACUUGCCUGUGUGCACUGUGCAGUGAUGGAGGAGCCUGCAAACAUGAGUAGAGGAGCAGCCACACCACAGGCACAGAGUAUAAGUGCUGCUGCAUCCUCUGACCGUUGGACCAACUCCUGCAUGAAGAAAGAAGCCAGCCAGAGACGAGACAGAGACAGCAGCGUCUCCAUCUCAAUAAAAGCCACGGAGAGCAGAGAGCUACUGUAUGAAUAUACAGGGAGAGCUGCUGGCUGUGCAUGCUUAGCCACAGCAGCUCCCUCCAUCAUCACUCAGAGUGUUGUCCAUCUGCUCCCGCCUCCCAGUCCCAGCCCCUGCUAAAGGAAUGGGUUACAGAAGGAAAAAGUGAACAGGAAAAUACAUGGACAGAAACAACCCAGUAAGCAGUAAAUGAAGAUACUGCAGAAAUAGAAUAAAAACCAUUGUAUCAAAAAAGGAUCAUGAGAUGAAUAUGUCCAGAACAAUGUGGGGAUCAAAUGGGACCAAAGAGCCGGAUCAAUAGCUCAGCAGGCAAAACUAUUUGUACAACAAAUUAUAUAAAAUGAAACAUCAAACAUACAAAACUGAACACAUAAAAGAGAAAAAACACAGCAUAGGUCAUAUAUAGAUGGACAUUGUUAUCAUUCAGUAAAAUAAGAAGACAUAAAGGAAAAGAGAAGGGGGGGGGGUGCAGUAUGGGGAUGUUAGGUGAGAGAUCCUUCAUGGCCGUAGCCAAACGUGAACCAACAGCAGCUGUGAAGAAGAGAUGGCUAGAUGAUGAUCAUCAAAGGGCACUCUGGAUCCAUGCCAACUGGUAUCCUGGAAACAGCGUUUUUAACUGUAAUUACAUGGGAUGGGGGAAUAUCCAUGAAGCUCUUCCAGAUCUCAAAAAGGAUUGACUCAUUCUUUAUGAAUGAAGGUUUCCAAACAAUCCAAUUCAUAAAAUAAUUUUUCUUGAAAGAGCUUCAAAGAUGGGGGUUGCCAGGGAUCGAGGGGGGAAUGUAAUAGGG